GUGGGGAAUCUUGCGCAAUGGGCGAAAGCCUGAUCCAGCCAUGCCGCGUGUGUGAAGAAGGUCUUCGGAUUGUAAAGCACUUUAAGUUGGGAGGAAGGGCAGUAAGUUAAUACCUUGCUGUUUUGACGUUACCGACAGAAUAAGCACCGGCUAACUUCGUGCCAGCAGCCGCGGUAAUACGAAGGGUGCAAGCGUUAAUCGGAAUUACUGGGCGUAAAGCGCGCGUAGGUGGUUCAGUAAGUUGGAAGUGAAAUCCCCGGGCUCAACCUGGGAACUGCUUUCAAAACUGCUGAGCUAGAGUACGGUAGAGGGUGGUGGAAUUUCCUGUGUAGCGGUGAAAUGCGUAGAUAUAGGAAGGAACACCAGUGGCGAAGGCGACCACCUGGACUGAUACUGACACUGAGGUGCGAAAGCGUGGGGAGCAAACAGGAUUAGAAACCCUUGUAGUCC
rnacentral:rRNA from 1 species